CCACCCUCCAACCCUAAACACUGAAUGGCGACCGAUAGCGCAUAGUACCGUGAGGGAAAGGUGAAAAGAACCCCGGGAGGGGAGUGAAAGAGAACCUGAAACCGUAUGUCUACAAGCAGUCGGAGCGAAAGCGACGGCGUGCCUAUUGAAGAAUGAACCAACGAGUUACGUGCACUAGCGAGGUUAAGUGGAAGACACGGAGCCGAAGCGAAAGCGAGUCUUAAGAGGGCGGAUAGUUAGUGUACGUAGACCCGAAACCGCAGUGAUCUACCCAUGUCCAGGUUGAAGCGCAGGUAAAAUUGCGUGGAGGACCGAACCUGUGAGCGUUGAAAAGCUUUAGGAUGAGAUGUGGGUAGAGGUGAAAUUCCAAUCGAACGCGGAGAUAGCUGGUUCUCCCCGAAAUAGCUUUAGGGCUAGCCUCAAGUAGUAAGUAUAGGCGGUAGAGCACUGAUCGGGCUAGGGGCCAUAAAGGUUACCGAACCCUGUCAAACUCCGAAUGGUUAUACUGUAGAGCUUGGGAGUCAGACUACGAGUGAUAAGAUCCGUGGUCAAAAGGGAAACAGCCCAGACCACCAGCUAAGGUCCCCAAUGUCGUACUAAGUGGAAAAGGAUGUGGGGUCUCUAAAACAACCAGGAUGUUGGCUUAGAAGCAGCCACCAUUUAAAGAGUGCGUAAUAGCUCACUGGUCGAGAGACCCUGCGCCGAAGAUUACCGGGGCUAAAGUACGAAACCGAAGCUGUGGCUACGACAUAUGUCGUGGGGUAGGGGAGCGAUCUGUGAGGGCUGAAGUCGUUCUGUAAGGAACGGUGGACUUCACAGAAGUGAGAAUGUUGGUAUGAGUAGCGAAAAGAAUGGUGAGAAUCCAUUCCACCGAAAGCAUAAGGAUUCCUGGGCAACGAUCGUCGUCCCAGGGUAAGUCGGGACCUAAUCCGAGGCAUGGAGCGUAGGAGAUGGACAACUGGCAGAUAUUCCAGUACCGGUAAUGAUUGUUUGAGCGAUGGAGUGACACAGGAGGGCAGGCAGGCAGGAGAUUGGUUGUUCCUGUACAAGCGUGUAGGAUGGGACGCAGGCAAAUCCGCGUCCUGUGAGUCUGAGGCGUGAUGUGGAGGUUCCGGAAACGGAACUGAAGCUGCUGACCCCACACUGUCGAGAAAAGCUUCUAGUUAGAGAAUUACCGCCCGUACCGUAAACCGACACAGGUAUGCGGGGAGAGAAUCCUAAGGUGCGCGGGAGAACCCUCGUUAAGGAACUCGGCAAAAUGUACCCGUAACUUCGGGAUAAGGGUAGCCGCUGUUGUGAAGUCUGAACAGACGGAGCAUGAGGCGGUCGCAGAGAAGAGGCCCAAGCGACUGUUUACCACAAACACAGGUGCCUGCUAAAGAGAAAUCUGACGUAUAGGUGCUGACACCUGCCCAGUGCCGGAAGGUUAAGGAAGGAUGUCCGGAGCAAUCCAAAGCAUUCGACCGAAGCCCCGGUGAACGGCGGCCGUAACUAUAACGGUCCUAAGGUAGCGAAAUUCCUUGUCGGGUAAG
rnacentral:rRNA from 1 species